rnacentral:rRNA from 1 species
UACAGAGGGUGCGAGCGUUAAUCGGAAUUACUGGGCGUACAGCGUGCGUAGACGGUUUUGUAAGUCGGAUGUGAAAUCCCCGGGCUCAACCUGGGAAUUGCAUUCGAGACUGCAAGGCUUGGGUGCGGAAGAGGGAAGCGGAAUUUCCGGUGUAGCGGUGAAAUGCGUAGAUAUCGGAAGGAACAUCAGUGGCGAAAGCGGCUUCCUGGUCCAGCACCGACGUUCAGGCACGAAAGCGUGGGGAGCAAACAGG